rnacentral:rRNA from 1 species
UACGAAGGGGGCUAGCGUUGUUCGGAUUUACUGGGCGUAAAGCGCACGUAGGCGGGUCGUUAAGUCAGGGGGUGAAAUCCCGGAGCUCAACUCCGGAACUGCCUUUGAUACUGGCGACCUUGAGGCUGGAAGAGGUUAGUGGAAUUCCCAGUGUAGAGGUGAAAUUCGUAGAUAUUAGGGAAGUAACAACCAGGUGGCGCAAGGCGGGCUGAACCUGAUCC